rnacentral:rRNA from 1 species
AGGACGAACGCUGGCGGCGCGCCUAACACAUGCAAGUCGAACGAGCGAGAGAGAGCUUGCUUUCUCGAGCGAGUGGCGAACGGGUGAGUAACGCGUGAGGAACCUGCCUCAAAGAGGGGGACAACAGUUGGAAACGACUGCUAAUACCGCAUAAGCCCACGGCUCGGCAUCGAGCAGGGGGAAAAGGAGCAAUCCGCUUUGAGAUGGCCUCGCGUCCGAUUAGCUAGUUGGUGAGGUAAUGGCCCACCAAGGCGACGAUCGGUAGCCGGACUGAGAGGUUGAACGGCCACAUUGGGACUGAGACACGGCCCAGACUCCUACGGGAGGCAGCAGUGGGGAAUAUUGCACAAUGGGGGAAACCCCGAUGCAGCGACGCCGCGUGGAGGAAGAAGGUCUUCGGAUUGUAAACUCCUGUUGUUGGGGAAGAUAAUGACGGUACCCAACAAGGAAGUGACGGCUAACUACGUGCCAGCAGCCGCGGUAAAACGUAGGUCACAAGCGUUGUCCGGAAUUACUGGGUGUAAAGGGAGCGCAGGCGGGAAGACAAGUUGGAAGUGAAAUCUAUGGGCUCAACCCAUAAACUGCUUUCAAAACUGUUUUUCUUGAGUAGUGCAGAGGUAGGCGGAAUUCCCGGUGUAGCGGUGGAAUGCGUAGAUAUCGGGAGGAACACCAGUGGCGAAGGCGGCCUACUGGGCACCAACUGACGCUGAGGCUCGAAAGUGUGGGUAGCAAACAGGAUUAGAUACCCUGGUAGUCCACACCGUAAACGAUGAUUACUAGGUGUUGGAGGAUUGACCCCUUCAGUGCCGCAAGUUAACACAAUAAGUAAUCCACCUGGGGAGUACGACCGC